rnacentral:tRNA from 1 species
GCAAGUGUGGAGUAGUGGUUUGAGUGUUGGACUACAACUCUGGAGACCAGGGUUUGAUUCCCAGCUCGGCCG